AGUCGAACGCUUUUUCUUUCACCGGAGCUUGCUCCAUCGAAAGAAAAAGAGUGGCGAACGGGUGAGUAACACGUGGGUAACCUGCCCAUCAGAAGGGGAUAACACUUGGAAACAGGUGCUAAUACCGUAUAACACUAUUUUCCGCAUGGAAGAAAGUUGAAAGGCGCUUUUGCGUCACUGAUGGAUGGACCCGCGGUGCAUUAGCUAGUUGGUGAGGUAACGGCUCACCAAGGCCACGAUGCAUAGCCGACCUGAGAGGGUGAUCGGCCACACUGGGACUGAGACACGGCCCAGACUCCUACGGGAGGCAGCAGUAGGGAAUCUUCGGCAAUGGACGAAAGUCUGACCGAGCAACGCCGCGUGAGUGAAGAAGGUUUUCGGAUCGUAAAACUCUGUUGUUAGAGAAGAACAAGGAUGAGAGUANAACGUUCAUCCCUUGACGGUAUCUAACCAGAAAGCCACGGCUAACUACGUGCCAGCAGCCGCGGUAAUACGUAGGUGGCAAGCGUUGUCCGGAUUUAUUGGGCGUAAAGCGAGCGCAGGCGGUUUCUUAAGUCUGAUGUGAAAGCCCCCGGCUCAACCGGGGAGGGUCAUUGGAAACUGGGAGACUUGAGUGCAGAAGAGGAGAGUGGAAUUCCAUGUGUAGCGGUGAAAUGCGUAGAUAUAUGGAGGAACACCAGUGGCGAANNCGGCUCUCUGGUCUGUAACUGACGCUGAGGCUCGAAAGCGUGGGGAGCGAACAGGAUUAGAUACCCUGGGUA
rnacentral:rRNA from 1 species